AUUGAACGCUGGCGGCAUGCCUUACACAUGCAAGUCGAACGGCAGCAUGAUCUAGCUUGCUAGAUUGAUGGCGAGUGGCGAACGGGUGAGUAAUACAUCGGAACGUGCCCUGUAGUGGGGGAUAACUAGUCGAAAGAUUAGCUAAUACCGCAUACGACCUGAGGGUGAAAGUGGGGGACCGCAAGGCCUCAUGCUAUAGGAGCGGCCGAUGUCUGAUUAGCUAGUUGGUGAGGUAAAGGCUCACCAAGGCGACGAUCAGUAGCUGGUCUGAGAGGACGAUCAGCCACACUGGGACUGAGACACGGCCCAGACUCCUACGGGAGGCAGCAGUGGGGAAUUUUGGACAAAGGCCGAAAGCCUGAUCCAGCAAUGCCGCGUGUGUGAAGAAGGCCUUCGGGUUGUAAAGCACUUUUGUCCGGAAAGAAAUGGCUCUGGUUAAUACCUGGGGUCGAUGACGGUACCGGAAGAAUAAGGACCGGCUAACUACGUG
rnacentral:rRNA from 1 species